rnacentral:rRNA from 1 species
AACGAACGCUGGCGGCAGGCCUAACACAUGCAAGUCGAACGCUCGUAGCAAUACGAGAGUGGCAGACGGGUGAGUAACACGUGGGAACCUUCCCUAUGGUUCGGAAUAGCUCAGGGAAACUUGGGGUAAUACCGGAUAAGCCCUUCGGGGAAAGGAUUUAUCGCCAUUGGAUGGGCCCGCGUCGGAUUAGCUAGUUGGUGAGGUAACGGUC